GAUAAACGCUGACAGAAUGCUUAACACAUGCAAGUCGAUGAUGGGAGCUAGCUUGCUAGAAGAAGUCAUGGCGGACGGGUGAGUAACGUGUAAAGAACUUACCAUAUAGACUGGGAUAACAGAGGGAAACUUCUGAUAAUACUGGAUAAGUUAGUAGUAGCAUUACUAAGUAAUGAAAGGUAGCAAUACGCUAUAUGAGAGCUUUGCAUCCUAUUAGCUAGUUGGUGGGGUAAAAGCCUACCAAGGCGAUGAUAGGUAGCCGGCCUGAGAGGGUGGACGGCCACAAGGGGACUGAGAUACGGCCCUUACUCCUACGGGAGGCAGCAGUGGGGAAUAUUGGACAAUGGAGGCAACUCUGAUCCAGCAAUUCUGUGUGUGUGAAGAAGGUUUUAGGACUGUAAAACACUUUUAGUAGGGAAGAAAGAAAUGACGGUACCUACAGAAGAAGCGACGGCUAAAUACGUGCCAGCAGCCGCGGUAAUACGUAUGUCGCGAGCGUUAUCCGGAAUUAUUGGGCUUAAAGGGCAUCUAGGCGGUUAAACAAGUUGAAGGUGAAAACCUGUGGCUCAACCAUAGGCUUGCCUACAAAACUGUAUAACUAGAGUACUGGAAAGGUGGGUGGAACUACACGAGUAGAGGUGAAAUUCGUAGAUAUGUGUAGGAAUGCCGAUGAUGAAGAUAACUCACUGGACAGCAACUGACGC
rnacentral:rRNA from 1 species